AUUGAACGCUGGCGGCAGGCCUAACACAUGCAAGUCGAGCGAGCGGCGGACGGGGGAGUAAUGUAUGGGGACUGCCCGAUCGAGGGGGAUAACUCAUGAAAACGGUGGCUAAUCCCGCUUACGUUAGGAUAACCCAUAUGGGAUUAGCUAGUAGGAAAGGUAAUGGCUUACCUAGGCGACGAUCCCUAGCUGGUCUGAGAGGAUGAUCAGCCACACUGGGACUGAGACACGGCCCAGACUCCUACGGAGGCAGCAGUGGGGAAUAUUGCACAAUGGGCGCAAGCCUGAUGCAGCCAUGCCGCGUGUAUGAAGAAGGCCCUAGGGUUGUAAAGUACUUUCAGUCGGGAGGCGUUACCGACAGAAGAAGCACCGGCUAACUCCGUGCCAGCAGCCGCGGUAAUAC
rnacentral:rRNA from 1 species